rnacentral:tRNA from 1 species
GCCGCGGUGGCGGAAUUGGUAUACGCGCGCGACUCAAAAUCGCGUUCCCUUGCGGAUUGAGGGUUCGAGUCCCUCCCGCGGCACCA